CUUUAGAAAUCUAUUCACAUAAAAAAAAAUUCAGUAAUGCUCCUGGUUAAUGUCUAGCUCUCAGCCUGUGCAAGGAUCCUGUCAAAGAUUGACUAUAAACUGCUUCUCAGAGAAGGAGGAGUGCUCUGGAAACCUGCAGAUGAAAAGGCAAAUAGAAAGUCAGCAUGAGGAGGAGGAAGCGCCUGCAACAGCAGCAGCAGCAGCAGCAGCAGCAGCAGCAGCAGCAGCAGCAGCAGCAGCAGCAGCAGCAGCAGGAUCGACAGGAUCAGCAGCAGGAUCAGCAGCAAGGGCAGCAGCAACAGCACGGGCAGCAGGGGCAGCAGGGGCAGCAGCUGCAGCAGCAGGAGCAGCAGCUGUGCCAGCAGCAGCAACAGUGCCAGCAGUGCCAGCAACUGCAGCAGCAGCAGCAGCAACAGCAGCAGCAGCAACGUAGGAGGAGAAAAAACAGGAGAAGCCGGAGGAGCAGGAAGAGCAAGAGGACCAGGAGGACCAGGAGGACCAGGAACACCAGGAGGAGGCGAAGAAGAAAUAAUGAGUGAUUGUGUCUACAUUUACAGAAAGAGUUUGAUGUGGUAGAAAUGUUGGUAAAUAUAAUACUCAAACCUGAAAUUCUAAUAAAAUAAUUGAAAGAUAGCAGAAAGCCUUCAAAGUCGUGCAAACACAAUAUGCACUAUAUAUAGUAAAUUAAAUU
rnacentral:lncRNA from 1 species